rnacentral:rRNA from 1 species
AUUGAACGCUGGCGGCAGGCCUAACACAUGCAAGUCGAGCGGAUGAAGGGAGCUUGCUCCUGGAUUCAGCGGCGGACGGGUGGGUAAUGCCUAGGAAUCUGCCUGGUAGUGGUUUAGAACGGCCGGAAGCGGGCGCUAAUACCGCAUACGUGCAUAGGGAGAAAGGGGGGGAGCUUCGGACCUUACGCUAUCAGAUGAGCCUAGGUCGGAUUAGCUAGUUGGUGGGGUAAAGGCCUACCAAGGCGACGAUCCGUAACUGGUCUGAGAGGAUGAUCAGUCACACUGGAACUGAGACACGGUCCAGACUCCUACGGGAGGCAGCAGUGGGGAAUAUUGGACAAUGGGCGAAAGCCUGAUCCAGCCAUGCCGCGUGUGUGAAGAAGGUCUUCGGAUUGUAAAGCACUUUAAGUUGGGAGGAAGGGCAGUAAGUUAAUACCUUGCUGUUUUGACGUUACCAACAGAAUAAGCACCGGCUAACUUCGUG